CUACUUAUCUGACUGCAGAGAGGAUGACAGAGAACAGUGGACACACAGUCUAACAUGAUGGACUAUAGGACAGGACUGCUGCUGUUAACUAUCUGCUGGGCAGGUGUUGAUGGUCAGACUCUGACAGAAUCUGAACCAGUGGUUAAAAGGCCUGGAGAAUCUCACAGAUUGACCUGUACAGCCUCUGGAUUCACAUUCAGCAGCUACGCUAUGAACUGGGUCAGACAGGCUCCUGGAAAAGGACUGGAGUGGGUUGCCAGGAUUCAGAGUGGUGGUAGCAGCAAAUACUACUCUCAGUCAGUUCAAGGCCGGUUUACCAUCUCCAGAGACAACAGCAGACAGCAGCUGUAUCUGCAGAUGAACAGUCUGAAGACUGAAGAUUCUGCUGUUUAUUAUUGUGCUCGACACCCACAGUGACACAGUAAGGAGCAACGCUGU